CAGAGGGAGGGGCACAGGGGGCUGAGGAGUGCUGGGUCGGGCUUCCAGCUCCCUACAACGCAGACCAGUACUGGAGUUCGUGGUGCUGGAAGACCGCCGCCCGACUCUGGGCCCCGGGUAGGAAACAACAAUUUCGGACCUCCUGGGGUCUAUGCUAGGUAUGAGGUGUAUCUUUGCCCUCCAUCAAGUAGCAAAGAUGGACAUGUAAACAAAUUUCGACACUGUGAUGACUGCCACAAAAAGCAGCAUUAUGAGGUUGAAUGUAAAAGGAUAACCUUAGCGGCGGCGGGGGCCGGAGGAUGAAGGAAGGCUUCCUGAGGUAGGCGCUGGUUGAAACUGAAGUUGGAGAGAGCAAGUGGCAUUUGCUGAAGUGCAUUUCCGGUAGAAAACUCCAGUGGUCCCUCACCUGACUGAGUGGCGCAGUCAGAGAUAAAUGGAACAGAGUCUACAAAUAAACAUUUUAUAAAGAUGAUCCUUCAAUACAUAUUCUACAGCCCAGUUAAAAUGUGAGAGGCCAUGAUCUACAGACAGCCAUUUAUAAAGGUGGAUCAGGGCCGGACACGGUGGCUCAACGUCUGUAAUCCCGGCACUGUGGGAGGCCAAAGCGGGAGGAUCGCUUGAGCCCAGGAGUUCGAGACCAACCUGGCCAACAUGGUGAGACCCCAUCUUUACAAAAAAAUAUAUAUAUCCAGGCAUAGUGGUGUGCACCUGUGGUCCUGUGGUCCCAGCUACUCAGGAAGCUGAGGCAGUUGAGGCUGCAGUGAGCCACGUUCUGGCCACUACACUCCAGCCUGGGCAUCAAAGUGACAAGACCAAAAAAAAAAAAAAAUGUGGAUUGGAAGGAGGCAAGAAAGAAGUCAGGAAAAGGGUGGAAUGUAAGUCCCUAAGGACACAAUCUUACUCACAAUUGUAUCUCCAACAUUUGGCAUAAUGCCUAAUACGUAAGUAUUUUAUGAAUUAAUUAAACGAGAACACAAGCCUAAAUUAAGGCAAUGGCAAUGGAGAAGAAGAAACCAACUUGAGAAAUAUUUAAAGGUCAUUGUCAAUGGAACUUAGUGACUUUAAUGGUUAAUUUUAUCUAUCAACUUGGCUAGGCGAUGCUACCCAUGUUACUCAGUUUUUGGUCAAACACUAGUCUAGUUGUUGCUAUGAAUUGUAUUUGUUAGAUGUGAUUAACAUUUAAAUCAGCAGACUUUGAUUAAAGUACAUUACCCUCUAUAAUGAGGGUGGGCCGCAUCCGGUCAGUUCAAAUUAAAACGAGACCCUUAAGAAGAAGCAAUUCAGCCUCCAGACUGCAGCGUCAAAUCUCCCUGGGUCUCCAGGCUGUUUGUCUGCCCUGCAGAUUUCAGACUUGCCAGCUCCCAGAAUAAUGUGAGCCAAUUCCUUAAAAUAAAUCUCUUUCUGCAUAUACAC
rnacentral:lncRNA from 1 species